CUACGCACUCCUACGGGGGGCAGCAGUGGGGAAUAUUGCACAAUGGGCGCAAGCCUGAUGCAGCCAUGCCGCGUGUAUGAAGAAGGCCUUCGGGUUGUAAAGUACUUUCAGCAGUGAGGAAGGUGGAUAUGUUAAUAGCAUAUUCAUUUGACGUUAGCUGCAGAAGAAGCACCGGCUAACUCCGUGCCAGCAGCCGCGGUAAUACGGAGGGUGCGAGCGUUAAUCGGAAUUACUGGGCGUAAAGCGCAUGCAGGUGGUUUGUUAAGUCAGAUGUGAAAGCCCGGGGCUCAACCUCGGAAUUGCAUUUGAAACUGGCAAACUAGAGUACUGUAGAGGGGGUAGAAUUUCAGGUGUAGCGGUGAAAUGCGUAGAGAUCUGAAGGAAUACCGGUGGCGAAGGCGGCCCCCUGGACAGAUACUGACACUCAGAUGCGAAAGCGUGGGGAGCAAACAGGAUUAGAUACCCUGGUAG
rnacentral:rRNA from 1 species